GGUUCAGCCCGUCCUCCAGGCUGCUGUCUUGCGAGUCCACGAAUCCGCCACGGAAGCCCAGGCGCCCAUCGAAGAGCAUCUGCAUCUGCGAGAGAAGGAAGCUGGGAUUGGCAGGGACACCCAAGAGUAGCGCCACAGGGAGGGGCAGGGCCAUAGUGGAGAGAGGCUGGGCGCGCCCCCUCCUCACCAGUAUGGCGUAGCGCAGGCGGAGGCGGCCAAAGAGAAUCCCAGGGUCAGGCGCGUGCAGGAGCGCAUAGCAGGCAGGCCUCCAGCCUGGCCCCAGCGCCAGAGCCUCGGCCAGCUCCAGCUUGCCGGCCCUAGCCAUGGCCCGACACUGCUCCUCCGCUGUCCCGAAGGCCCACGAGGGCACAAGGGCGGGUCUCACCUCGGACCCAUCCAAGAGUGGGCGGUGUCGCAAGGCCCCAUCCCUUCAGGGAUAAGGGGAGGAACUUAGGCACCUUAGGUCCGGGCGCUGCGACCGGUGCGGGAGGCAGCCAAUCAGGGCGGAGCUUGCAGACCGGACUGAUGUCCAGGGCCCAGGAACCUUAGGGAAACCAUAAGCAGCCUCUGGGUUGGGCUUGCGGCGGGGCGGGGCUGAAGGUAUGGCAGCGCCCUGAACCUGGAGCAAGGCUGGUACAUAAACGCCUACCUCACAAUCUGGAGUCAUCUGGAGUGUCCCAGCAGGAUGUCUUGACUUCCUCAGAUGCAAGUCAGGCCUUCAUCUUUUCAAACCUCCUGCCCUGCUGUCCUGCCUCCAGUCUCACCCUCUUCAAACCUGCUCUCCACCCAGUGCCAUGAUACAGCUAAAGAUCAUGUUCAUCAAUAACUUUGCAGUGGCUGCCCCUAACUACAGGACACAGCAGAGCAAACAUGGCAGCAUAUAGCUGAGCUUUGCCUUCUGUAUUGGUGAUGUAUUGCUGAAACAUAUUGUAAAAUGUAUUAACACCAUCACAAGAAACAUUCGUUAUUUCACAGUGUCUGUAGGUCAGGAAUUAAAAGGGGGUGGUUCUAGCUCAGGGUUUCUCAUAAGGUUUUAGUCCAGAUGUCAGCCAGAUCUGUAGUCAAAUGUAGGCUUGACUAGGGCUGGAGAAUAUGCUCCCAUAGCUCACUGACAGCUGGCAAGGUGGUACUGGCUGUUGGCAAAAUGCCCCAAUUUUUUAUCCCAGAGAUCUCUCCAUAGGGUUGCGUACAUGUUCUUACAACAUAGUGGCUGGCUUCGUCCAGUGUGGGCGAUACAGGUGAAAUCCGUGUGUUUUGUGACCUAGUCUCAGAAGUCACACACCAUCACUUCUACAUUAUUCUGUUGGUCACACAGGCCGCCCCUGAGGCAGUGUGGGAAGGAUCUACACAGGACGUGAAUAUACCAGAAGUGAGGAUCAUUGGAAAUCAUGUUGGAGGCUGGUCACCAUCCCCUUCUCUCUAAACCUAACAUUAUCACUUUCAUAUUUCAUGUUCCACCAGCACUAAAGGAUUUCAGAUUCCCAGAAUCUAUAGGGCUGUGUCUUC